rnacentral:tRNA from 1 species
GCGGGUAUAGUUCAAUGGUAGAACUUCAGCCUUCCAAGCUGAUAAUGCGGGUUCGAUUCCCGCUACCCGCU